rnacentral:rRNA from 1 species
GGGCGAGAGCCUGAUCCAGCCAUGCCGCGUGCAGGAAGACUGCCCUAUGGGUUGUAAACUGCUUUUAUACGGGAAGAAACCCAUCUACGUGUAGGUGGCUGACGGUACCGUAAGAAUAAGCAUCGGCUAACUCCGUGCCAGCAGCCGCGGUAAUACGGAGGAUGCAAGCGUUAUCCGGAAUCAUUGGGUUUAAAGGGUCCGUAGGUGGACAAUUAAGUCAGAGGUGAAAUCCUGCAGCUCAACUGUAGAAUUGCCUUUGAUACUGGUUGUCUUGAAUUAUUGUGAAGUGGUUAGAAUAUGUAGUGUAGCGGUGAAAUGCAUAGAUAUUACAUAGAAUACCAAUUGCGAAGGCAGAUCACUAACAAUAUAUUGACACUGAUGGACGAAAGCGUGGGGAGCGAACGGGAUUAGAUACCCCGGUAGUCCACGCCGUAAACGAUGGUCACUAGCUGUUCGGAUUUCGGUCUGAGUGGCUAAGCGAAAGUGAUAAGUGACCCACCUGGGGAGUACGUUCGCAAGAAUGAAACUCAAAGGAAUUGACGGGGGCCCGCACAAGCGGUGGAGCAUGUGGUUUAAUUCGAUGAUACGCGAGGAACCUUACCAGGGCUUAAAUGUAGAUUGCAUUAGCUAGAGAUAGCUAUUUCUUCGGACUAUCUACAAGGUGCUGCACGGUUGUCGUCAGCUCGUGCCGUGAGGUGUCAGGUUAAGUCCUAUAACGAGCGCAACCCCUGUUGUUAGUUGCCAGCAUGUAAAGAUGGGAACUCUAGCAAGACUGCCGGUGCAAACCGAGAGGAAGGUGGGGAUGACGUCAAAUCAUCACGGCCCUUACGUCCUGGGCUACACACGUGCUACAAUGGUAUAGACAAUGAGCAGCCACUUCGCGAGAAGGAGCGAAUCUACAAACUAUAUCUCAGUUCGGAUCGGAGUCUGCAACUCGACUCUGUGAAGCUGGAAUCGCUAGUAAUCGGAUAUCAGCCAUGAUCCGGUGAAUACGUUCCCGGGCCUUGUACACACCGCCCGUCAAGCCAUGGAAGCUGGGAGUGCCUGAAGUCCGUCACCGCAAGGAGCGGCCUAGGGUAAAAUCGGUAACUAGGGCUAAGUCGUAACAAGGUAGCCGUACCGGAAGGUGCGGCUGGAACACCUCCUUUCU